CAGCCUAGAAAAAUUUCUUGGGUCCGCCACUGUUGAUUUUUGUAGAGUGACGUGAAGCAUGGUGAGGUUCAUAUGACGGUUCGAUGUUUCAGAUUACAGGGUCGAUGUUGAACAACUGGUUAAGAUCUGAAGCAUUUUUGUAAUUGCAUGUUGCAUUUUUUGCUCAUGUAAAAAGUGGGUCUUAUUGUUCCAGAUCUAAAAGAUGAUCUGAAAUCCAAAAAGAGGAUCCAGUUCCAAGAUGCUACCAGAUCCAAAAGAUGCUCCAGAUCCGGUUGAAGAUGUUCGAUGUUGAAGAUGAUAUUCCAUAUAACGCCUAGCAACUGCCCUUUCAUUGGUUGGGUCGACCCACCGAUGUGCUUACGGUCAACUAGGAUCAUACCAGGUCUUUUGAGGAACAUCAACAACCUGCAAGCUGAAUUGUUACCCGUGAGCAAGAAAUUCGGAAGAAGAAGAGGGUUAUAUGGUUACUAAUAUUAGCGUUAGUGAUUGGCAGCUUACUUGUUAGCAUUGUUUGUUGUGAUUAAGAAAUAGGUGGUACUUAGUUGGAUUAUCCUUCUUAGUAUGUUAAUGACAUUUGUAGUAUGUACUUGUUGAUGUUUGGUUGAAUCUGAGAAUUUUCUAUGUUAUGGAUUU